UGCCAGACUCCUACGGGAGGCAGCAGUGGGGAAUAUUGGGCAAUGGGGGAAACCCUGACCCAGCGACGCCGCGUGAGGGAAGAAGGUUUUCGGAUUGUAAACCUCUGUCCUUGGUGACGAUAAUGACGGUAGCCAAGGAGGAAGCCACGGCUAACUACGUGCCAGCAGCCGCGGUAAUACGUAGGGGGCAAGCGUUAUCCGGAUUUACUGGGUGUAAAGGGAGCGUAGACGGUCCUGCAAGCCAGAUGUGAAAGCCCGGGGCUCAACCCCGGGACUGCAUUUGGAACUGUAAGGCUAGAGUGUCGGAGAGGCAGGCGGAAUUCCUAGUGUAGCGGUGAAAUGCGUAGAUAUUAGGAGGAACACCAGUGGCGAAGGCGGCCUGCUGGACGAUGACUGACGUUGAGGCUCGAAAGCGUGGGGAGCAAACAGGAUUAGAUACCCUCGUAUG
rnacentral:rRNA from 1 species